rnacentral:lncRNA from 1 species
ACGCAUGCGUGCAGGAUCCCUGGGCAUAGUCGCUUGUUCUCCGCCCGCGGUGGACCAGCUGCGUAACGGUUCACACACUGAUGGCGCCUGGAGGUUUGGCGAAAUACUGACAGGAUGCGACGUCAACGGGAGCGCAGGGCCAAGAUACCCUUUAUAUCAAACCGUCUAUCCUGGAGCAGAAAAAUCCUGUCUUCAUUGCUAUAGCUACAGAUUCAGAAAUGAGCAUGUAACAAAUUCAGGCCAAAGAGAGGCAAUGGAAAUCAGAGAAACACUGUUCCUGAAAGCUUCUGUCACUCAAGAAUCCAUGAAACAUUCAUGAACUUCACAUCAGAAGCCAAGCCCAGAAAAUAUGGGUUUAAGGUUUGCCUAUAUGUCCAAUACAAGAGAAAAAAGAACAUUCCACUUCUUUAGAAGGUUCUACUUUGAUCUCCUGAUUCCAGUUGUGAAAAAAAAUUGUGCCUAAAGAAUAUAGUCCCUUUAUAGAAUUGUUUUGAAACCUACCACAGGUAUUUCUACACAGGUGCUAUUGUGGAGGUGCAUACCCAACAGUUUGAUAAUGUAGAGGAAGUGAUAGCUUUGUCUCGUGGAAUCUGGGUCGACCUCACAGAGGAGCUGUUAUUUGUUCUGGAUAUUGAACAGUGACAAGGAUUCAGUGGGAGAGAAAGAGGCGAGGAUUUUAAUGCAACUUGUUACACAAGAUGAACCCAAACAUAUUUGACUUUUUAUUUUCAGAAAAGCUUAAUACAUAGUUUUGAAUAUGGAUUGUCCCACAGGAUAAAUGCAUGAAAAAAGUUGGAAAAGAGAAAUUGAAUUACAUCCUAAUUGUAGUGUUUUCUCAGGCAGAUCAAUUUUAGAAAGAGAACAUUGACUUGGAAAACUGAAGAGUAAUUAUUCUAAAACGGUUGUAACAGUUUACUCCUUUUAUGUUUGCAAACUUCCAGGAUUAGUGAGUUGCAUAAAGUCACAUAAUUUAUUGCGUUGGUGCAAAAGUAAUUGUGGUUUUUGCCAUUAACAAAACCGCAAUUACUUUUGCAUCAGCCUAAUAUAAGUGAAUAAAUUAAUAUUAGAACACAGGUCUAAUUAAAAGGUUCUGCUGUGUUGUGUCCUGUGAUAACACAGAAAACAAACAAAUGGAUAAUUACAGAAAAAUUUUGGAUAUAAAAUUAGCAGGUAAUUUUCUCCCUCCUUUCCUUCCAUCUUUCCAUCCUUCUUUGCUUCCUUUGCUUUCUUCUUUUCCUUUGUUUUUUGUUUCUCUCUCUCUCUUUUUUUUUUUUUUUUUUUUUUUUUGCAAUUUGGAGAAGGAAGUACUUUAAAAGAAAAGUUAAAAGGCAGACAUAGAUAGCAUGAAGCCUAAUUGCAAGAUCUUUUUCAAACAUAUUAGUUUUAGGAAAUAGCACCUGAAUUUAAGUCCCUUAAAAUUGUCUAUGUCUUCACGUCCAAGUCUCUAUAUUUGCAGGGCUGUGUACAAUCUAGACUGAACAUGCUUGACCUAAAAACAGAAGUAAUACCUGGGGCAAAGCACGAUGUGCACCACAGUCUUCUCUCUUUAGUGUGUUAAGAUAAAGUUGAUUCCCAGAGUAGCCUGCCAUCACUAACUCUGAGGGAUGGUGGGCUAAUUUUGAUAGAAGGAGCAGAGGUGGUAGUUAGGAGGAAGGUGACUCAUCAUCAUUGUAUCAGCAGGCAUUGAUGACUGGAAAUAUCAGGGGGCACAGCCUGAAAGAGAAUGGCUUAAUUGGAAUUGAUAGUGGGAACUUGGAAAUCAAUACAUAUGCACUGAACAGAAAAUGGUAUGCUAUAAUCUACUAUACACUGUAUGUGAAACCCAAGCUCCAAAUUUUUCGGCCCAUGCAAUGUCCAGUAAAAUUUCUCUUAGUUACAUUAUAAUUGCAAUGUACAUGUAUUUGAGGAAAAAAAAAGUGAAAGAAAAAGUAACUAAAGAAAAGUGGAAAUGCAAAACUUUGUUUUUAUUAAUGUUAAAAUUUAUUUUGAUCAACUUGCUAUUCUUAAAAUUGACCAAUCUUCUUCCCUUCCUUGCCUCUUCCAUGGUUUAUAGGAUUAUUUUUCAGGGCUGAUCAGUUGGUGUUACAUGUGACUACUAUGCUUAAUGCUAUCUGGCUUCUAACUUUAAGCACUGAAAAAAAGUCCUUCGUAUUUCUCAGUGUGUGAUUGAACUGAGAUGACCAUCCUAAGCCUCCUCAUUACAUAAAUCCUUACCUUCUCCAGAAGCAACGAAUGGUGUUGAGAAUAGCAUAUGUUACUACUCAGCCAUAUUCCAUAGCCUUUUCUCCAAGAUAUUUUUCCAAAGUUGCCCCUUUUCUGAAUCCCUUGCAAGCAAACAAACAACAAAACAAUGGGUAAUAAAAUAAUUGUUUAACUUUCAUUUAUAUGCUCUGAGAUUGAUGUGAUUUUGAUAAAUAACUAUAUUAAAAGACAAAUGGGAGUGGUGAUUUUGUGAAAAGCCCAUGCCUCUGCCCAUGGAAUAUGUGGCUUGGCCUGGAGCUCUUAUUUUACUUAUAUAUUUCUAAGCAGAAUUAUUCAAGAAUGUCUCUUAUUACAGGUCUUGAAACUUGGACAGCCAACAGAAAGGAAGCUAAUAAAUAAAUUUGUCAGAACACGAUUCUCAGUUUCACUUAUUUUGAAUUAAAGGUAACCUGGAAAAUGGAUUAGGAAAACAGCCUAUAAUCAGAGGAGUGACCCCAGUGAGACCCUGUCAUUAAAACUUUAGUGUUGAGCCUGCAAACCUCUGUUCCUCUGAUUAGGCAAUUUACUCCAUUUCCACCUUUCUGUCUGCCAAAACAUUUAGUGGCAAAACAUUUUCUAAUUCUCUAGACUCAUAAAAUGUUGUUUUGAAAAAAAGUAAAACAGAAUGGAUUACCUUUUUAAGCUGUCUAUCAUAAUGUAAUCAGAAAACAUGAGGGAUUAAUAGAUAAUAUUGUAAAGAGGCAAAGGCAGCAGAUGUUAUUUAGAUGAGCAGAAGGUCACAGACCUCUGUUGAGGAUUGAAAGCUUGAGGUACGUGCCUUUGUUCCUCAGUGUGUGUGGAUCAGAGUGAUUACUGAUAUCAGUUAGCAACAUGGUGGAGGGGACAAACUGGGGCUGCAUUUUCACUAUGUUUAUUAUUGCUCAAGGUCAAAAAGUGACUGUGUAGUGCCUCAGUUUUUACAUCUUUGUGUUAUCAAUAUUUUUUUCUAUUACCUUACAAGUUUAUUUUGAUGCUGUAAUGAUGAGACAGUGUUUUGAAAAGUUCUAAAUAAAUAAAAGGGUAUUCUCUAACUUUUAA